GUCCUAGCUCAGUGGUAGAACAUCUGCUCUGCAUGCAGAAGGCCCCAGGUUCACUCCCUGGAAUCUCCA